GACGAACGCUGGCGGCGUGCUUAACACAUGCAAGUCGAACGGAAAGGCCCUGCUUUUGUGGGGUGCUCGAGUGGCGAACGGGUGAGUAACACGUGAGUAACCUGCCCUUGACUUUGGGAUAACUUCAGGAAACUGGGGCUAAUACCGGAUAGGUGCUCCUGCUGCAUGGUGGGGGUUGGAAAGUUUCGGCGGUUGGGGAUGGACGCGCGGCUUAUCAGCUUGUUGGUGGGGUAGUGGCUUACCAAGGCUUUGACGGGUAGUCGGCCUGAGAGGGUGACCGGCCACAUUGGGACUGAGAUACGGCCCAGACUCCUACGGGAGGCAGCAGUGGGGAAUAUUGCACAAUGGGCGGAAGCCUGAUGCAGCAACGCCGCGUGCGGGAUGACGGCCUUCGGGUUGUAAACCGCUUUCGCCUGUGACGAAGCGUGAGUGACGGUAAUGGGUAAAGAAGCACCGGCUAACUACGUG
rnacentral:rRNA from 1 species